rnacentral:rRNA from 1 species
AGAGUUUGAUCCUGGCUCAGGAUGAACGCUAGCGGCAGGCUUAAUACAUGCAAGUCGUGGGGCAGCGCAGUGUAGCAAUACAUGGGCGGCGACCGGCAAACGGGUGCGGAACACGUACGCAACCUUCCUUUAAGUGGGGGAUAGCCCAGGGAAACUUGGAUUAAUACCCCGNUAAUAUUACGGAGUGGCAUCACUUUUUAAUUAUAGCAGCAAUGCGCUUGAAGAUGGGCGUGCGCCUGAUUAGGUAGUUGGCGGGGUAACGGCCCACCAAGCCUUCGAUCAGUAACUGGUGUGAGAGCACGACCAGUCACACGGGCACUGAGACACGGGCCCGACUCCUACGGGAGGCAGCAGUAAGGAAUAUUGGUCAAUGGACGAAAGUCUGAACCAGCCAUGCCGCGUGGAGGAUGAAGGUCCUCUGGAUUGUAAACUUCUUUUAUUUGGGAAGAAACCCACGAUUUCUAUUGUGGUUGACGGUACCAGAUGAAUAAGCACCGGCUAACUCCGUGCCAGCAGCCGCGGUAAUACGGAGGGUGCAAGCGUUAUCCGGAUUCACUGGGUUUAAAGGGUGCGUAGGCGGGCAGGUAAGUCAGUGGUGAAAUCCCCGAGCUUAACUUGGGAACUGCCGUUGAUACUAUCUGUCUUGAAUACUAUGGAGGUAAGCGGAAUAUGUCAUGUAGCGGUGAAAUGCUUAGAUAUGAC